rnacentral:rRNA from 1 species
GAGCUUGCUCCUGGGGAUUAGUGGCGAACGGGUGAGUAACACGUGAGCAAUCUGCCCUUGACUCUGGGAUAAGCGCUGGAAACGGCGUCUAAUACCGGAUACGACCCUCGGAGGCAUCUCCUGGGGGUGGAAAGAACUUCGGUCAAGGAUGAGCUCGCGGCCUAUCAGCUUGUUGGUGAGGUAAUGGCUCACCAAGGCGACGACGGGUAGCCGGCCUGAGAGGGUGACCGGCCACACUGGGACUGAGACACGGCCCAGACUCCUACGGGAGGCAGCAGUGGGGAAUAUUGCACAAUGGGCGCAAGCCUGAUGCAGCAACGCCGCGUGAGGGACGACGGCCUUCGGGUUGUAAACCUCUUUUAGCAGGGAAGAAGCGAGAGUGACGGUACCUGCAGAAAAAGCACCGGCUAACUACGUGCCAGCAGCCGCGGUAAUACGUAGGGUGCAAGCGUUGUCCGGAAUUAUUGGGCGUAAAGAGCUCGUAGGCGGUCUGUCGCGUCUGCUGUGAAAACCCGAGGCUCAACCUCGGGCUUGCAGUGGGUACGGGCAGACUAGAGUGCGGUAGGGGAGAUUGGAAUUCCUGGUGUAGCGGUGGAAUGCGCAGAUAUCAGGAGGAACACCGAUGGCGAAGGCAGAUCUCUGGGCCGUAACUGACGCUGA